rnacentral:rRNA from 1 species
UACGUAGGGUGCGAGCGUUGCCCGGAUUUAUUGGGCGUAAAGGGCGCGUAGGCGGCCACGCACGUCCGUUGUGAAAUCGCCCGGCUCAACUGGGCGGGGUCAGCGGAUACGGUGUGGCUCGAGCAAGCUAGGGGGCAAUGGAAUUCCCGGUGUAGUGGUGGAAUGCGUAGAUAUCGGGAGGAACACCAGUGGCGAAGGCGGUUGCCUGGAGCUUUGCUGACGCUGAGGUGCGAAAGCGUGGGGAGCGAUCCGG